UUCGGGGAUGGGUGGAGGUGGGGUUGCUAUAGUUCUGGGAAGCUUUAUGGCCCCCAAAUGUAUACCUGCCACCAACAUCACCAACAUCUGUACCUCAGAGAAACUAAGGCCCUGGCUGGGAUUUUUUUCUCCUGUUUCGCAGACCCCCGUCUGAUGAGCUGAUGGGGUACCUUGUCUCUGUGAGAAUACCUGAAACUGGGUAGUUUACAAAGACAAGGAAUUUAUUUUAUACGGUUCUGGAGCCUGUGAAGUCCAAGGUUGAGGGGCCGCAUCUGGUGAGGACCUCCUUGCUGGUGGGGACUCUGCAGAGUCCAGAGGCCACACAGGAUAUCACAUGGAGGAGCUGACUGAGCCUCAGUGUCCCCAGAUAAGGAGGGGAGUAUGCUCCCAGAAGCGUCUCCUGGGGGGCUAAGUGAAAGCCGGGCCAACCCUUCGUCCAGAGCCCUAUGUCCACGAGGACCAGCCUGGCAGGCACGGGCCCUUCUGGCACCAGCGUCCUGAAGGGCUGAGCAGUUGGUGACUGGAUAAUCCUUUUCUGAGUGUAUCAUGACCUCUGGUUGUGUGAGGAAGCCCAGAGACCGACUAUGGCUUCCUUGGGCUUCCAGAACAUUCUUGGGUUUCUGGAACCAUCAGAGCCACGGUAAUCUGGUGAUUCUGGGUGGGCCGUCUGGGGGCCUGGGCCUUGCAGCUGUGAAGAAUUCAUUUAAAUUUUCCAUGGAGGGAUUGGCUCCCGGCCAGGCCACGUGAGUUAUUUUGAGGCACUCUGGUCGGUGCUCUCUGCCCUGCCCUCGUCCAAGUAAACGAGCCCCACCGAGUGGGCCUGGAAACCCCACCCAGCCUUGUUUAUGGCCCUGCUGGGCUCUGUGGCUGGUCAGUGGCCAGAAUCUGGCAUCUGCCCCCCAUUCCCUCACCCCAGGCUGGGUGGAGUAGGCACAGGAUGGUAAAAUGUCCU
rnacentral:lncRNA from 1 species